rnacentral:rRNA from 1 species
UACGUAGGUGGCAAGCGUUGUCCGGAUUUACUGGGUGUAAAGGGCGUGCAGCCGGGCUGACAAGUCAGAUGUGAAAUCCCGCGGCUCAACCGCGGAACUGCAUUUGAAACUGUCAGUCUUGAGUACCGGAGAGGUCAGCGGAAUUCCUUGUGUAGCGGUGAAAUGCGUAGAUAUAAGGAAGAACACCAGUGGCGAAGGCGGAUGACUGGACGGCAACUGACGGUGAGGCGCGAAAGCGUGGGGAGCAAACAGG